GUCAAUGCGUUUCCAAACGCUAUCUCGGGUGUCCUUGUGAGUGUCCUUCCCACUGCGUAUGUGACAUGCUCGGAUCGGCUGUUUUUUUGUUUUUUUUCUUAAUGUUUCUUAAUAAACGAUAAAUUUAAAAAUGUGAUUUACGGUUAAGACUAAUCUUUGAUUUGAAAAGGAUAUUUCAAAAAUGUUUAUAUGAUCAACUGUUUUUUUUUUUACCAAAAAUGAUCAACUAGUUAAUAAUUAGGAUUUAGGAGGCCUUAAACUUUGGUUUUAAACUUUAGAGCAAAUAUUUAAACCAUUAAAUAGUUAUAAGUUGACUGUUUCCAUGUUUAUACUUCCAUAUUUCUUGUCAGGUGACCAAUUUAUAACCAAAUUGUUUCUACAAUUUGUACCACUUAAAUUUCACUUUUCAAUAAUAUUUAAUUGUUUUAAGGGAAAAAAAAAAGAAUUAUGAGUUGGUUGUCCGAUCGAUUAUAUGUUUUAAAAGAAUCAGCAAUCUCGUAAGUUUUCAUCUCAUAAUUUUAGGAAAUUAUAGCUGUGCUAGAUUUUGGUUUUUUUUCCAGCAUUUGUCAUUAAUCCCUAAAGUAUUUUCUAUGAUCUUUUUGUUGAUUGAUAGAUCGUCGUUUUACGAUUGCACCAAUGAUUCAAUUUGAAAUUAUAAAUUUGACCAAAGGAAUCAUCAACCCUUUCCUUAUCGAGUUAUCGCCUCGAUUUGAGAUUGAAAAUUUUGUCCUUUUGUUGGUUUUGUAAUGAUGCAGUGAUGUUUGCGAGGGCACCACGUAUCAAGUGAAUUUGACAUCUGCCCUCUCUUUUCUUCGCAUGCUGCUCACGUAGCACCUCCUCUUACGUAUGCUUAACUGCACAUUGAUUCGUAUGUUAAUUUCUGUAGCUAAACAAAACGAAAAUAAGAAAUAAGAAAUCUUUUGGCGCAUACUGAAUUGGCUCUUUUUUUUUUGUCAACUUAAGGUUGGCUUUAACUAGAAAUCUUUUGGCGCAUACUGCACAUUGAUUCGUAUGUUAAUUUCUGUAGCUAAACUUGGUGUUUAAAAAAAAACUAGAACCUUUUCAUUAAUUUACGGUAUUUUCAUACAUUAAAAAAAUAUAUAUAUAAACGGAAGCGAGAGUGAGCAGAAAUUUUUCAAAUCUAAUUUUUUAGAAAACUCAUGAAAAUUUCAUAAAAUUUUGUAUAAGACAUCAUUAUAUCCUAAUCAACCAGAAUUUCCGCUACUUAGUUCACUUUUAAAGUAGAAAAGGACUAGUUUAUAAAAAAAAAGUAGAAAAAGGCUUAAAUACUCUUAAUAAGUAGGUCUUGAGUAGAACUAGAAGUAGAAGAAUAAUUAAUACACAAACUCGUGUUAACCUCAUUACCUUGCCCAAAUCAAGUGAUCAUGUUCAGGAUUACACUAUAUCAAUACACAACUGGCAACACGUCGACCUUGGAUUGAUUGUUCUUACUCUUAUAUGUAAUUUCUUUUGAUCUUUUCUUUUUAAAAUAACCUUGUCAAUAUUGAUUGCAUAAGUUACACACGAAGCUCCAUUCUAUGCGAAAGUAGAGAAGUUGUAUGGUGGUCUUGCUAACCAAUUGGUUAAUCAAGGCCAUAUACUGGACAAUUUUGCAUCUGCGCUUGAUCAGGUAUUUAUUUUUACUUAAAUUGUUAUCAUGCUAAGUUACUAGUCUAAGCAGAAAAAUAUAGAAUUAAAAUUGCUUUUCUUUUGCAAGUCACGACACUUUAUUUGAAAGUAGAUUGUUUUUAUCUAAUCUAGUUGCUUACUCUGAAUCUAUGCAUACAAUUUUUAUUUUUAUUUUAAAUGUUAGGUUGGUGUUGCUAAAAUGAAAGCUACAGUUGAAAAAACUGGAGUACUUGUUCUUUUAUCAGAAAGUUUUGGCCACUCAGUAUUCAAUGAUUCUUUCAAGAUAUUAUAUAUUUCAGGAUGGUAAAUAAUCUCUCGGUCGUUUCAAGUGAGCUUGGCCUGGCAUCUUCUUGCUAGUUCAUUUGUUCAUCUACUAUCUACUUGAAUAUCUAUGAAAUGUGCUAAUUAGUUUUUAUUCUUUCUAAAUCGAGUAUCCACUUAUGUUACACCAAAUGCAUAACUUAGGUUGUCAUAAUCUCACGUUUUUAACAAUCAUCUUCAGUGGAACACUUCAAAUCAACUGUUCAAAAGGCAUAAGUUGCUUUUGGUUUGCCCUUGUAGGCUAAUGUUAUGUGAUGAUACUCUCAGGUGUUCAACAAUAGUCCAAACGUUUCCCCAUGCCAUGUAUGCGAUCAACUUGGAUCUCAGAUAUUUACAAUGGAUACAUGCAAGGAUUUUGUUAGCGAAGCUGAAUCCUCAACAAAUUACAACAAAACCAGCGAGAUGAACACAUGCUCUUAUAUAAUCUUCACGUACGACAAUGCUAUUUUGAACUUUUUCUACCAACAUCUCCAGAAACUGACCGUAUAAUCUAAGAGGAAACCCACUACAAAAGUCUCGCCGUCCCUUCAUUUUAGAUUUGAUUAGUAUGUUUAACAUCUUCACAUUGUUUAGCUUCAUAAAGCUACAGUAAGUGAGAAAUACAGACAGAUUACGAACUAAUGAUAAAAGAAAGAAUGGGUUUUAUUUACCAUUACAUUUCUUGGUGAAGUUUCCUUUUCACAUAGUAUUUUAAUCUAUUUUAAAUUGGUAAAAAUGUUAAAUAUU